ACUAUUUUUUACUUUGUCUAUGGAACUGUCAACUGUCAAAUGAAAUUUGAAUUCACCGCUCCACGGCAACACGCCAUUGAAUAAAAUUUUCAUCGGAAGAGAAUCUUAGAUUUUCUUCCAACUAAUCUACGCUCAAUGAAGGAUUAUGGGUGAAAUAAGAAAACCAGCAAUCUCAAUAAUCAACGUGGCCCCUGCUCGAUUUCCAUUCAAUAUCUUCAUCGUGUAACCUCGUGUCUGCUGCACGUCCAUUUUGUGAGGUGCAUUUGGCGUACGUGACGCGAAUCAGAGUGGCUUCGAGCUACACAAAAGGGCUCGAAUUUUAGAUCCACGGGAAUACCCCGGCGCACCGCCCUCCCAAAAUCAGUUUCAAAAUGGACGACGAUGAAGAUAUCCUUAAAGCCAUACAGAAGUUUUUGAUUAAAGG